rnacentral:sRNA from 12 species
CUGCGAGUAAGGCCCGUCCGAGGCUGUGAUGCCUGCGGCUGCGGGAUGGGAGCAAUAGGACGGGGUUCGCAC